GACGAACGCUGGCGGCGUGCUUAACACAUGCAAGUCGAACGGUGACGAGGAGCUUGCUCCUCCGAUCAGUGGCGAACGGGUGAGUAACACGUGAGUAACCUGCCCCAGACUCUGGGAUAACAGUUGGAAACAGCUGCUAAUACCGGGAUACGAGACGGAGAGGCAUCUCUACCGUCUGGAAAGUUUUUCGGUCUGGGAUGGACUCGCGGCCUAUCAGGCUUGUUGGUGAGGUAAUGGCUCACCAAGGCGACGACGGGUAGCCGGCCUGAGAGGGCGACCGGCCACACUGGGACUGAGACACGGCCCAGGACUCCUACGGGAGGCAGGCUAGUGGGGAAUAUUGCACAAUGGGCGAAAGCCUGAUGCAGCGACGCCGCGUGAGGGAUGACGGCCUGG
rnacentral:rRNA from 1 species